AACGUAGGGGGCGAGCGUUGUCCGGAAUUACUGGGCGUAAAGGGCACGCAGGCGGUCUUGCCAGUCAGGGGUGAAAGCCCGGGGCUCAACCCCGGAACUGCCUCUGAUACUGCAGGACUAGAGACUAGGAGAGGGUGGUGGAAUUCCCAGUGUAGAGGUGAAAUUCGUAGAUAUUGGGAGGAACACCAGAGGCGAAGGCGGCCACCUGGACUAGAUCUGACGCUCAGGUGCGAAAGCGUGGGGAGCAAACAGG
rnacentral:rRNA from 1 species